rnacentral:rRNA from 1 species
UACGAAGUGGGCUAGCGUUGCUCGGAAUCACUGGGCGUAAAGGGCGCGUAGGCGGCCAUUCAAGUCAGGGGUGAAAGCCUGUGGCUCAACCACAGAAUUGCCUUUGAUACUGUUUGGCUAGAGACCGGAAGAGGUAAGUGGAACUGCGAGUGUAGAGGUGAAAUUCGUAGAUAUUCGCAAGAACACCAGUGGCGAAGGCGGCUUACUGGUCCGGUUCUGACGCUGAGGCGCGAAAGCGUGGGGAGCAAACAGG